AUUGAACGCUGGCGGCAGGCCUAACACAUGCAAGUCGAGCGGUAGCACAGAGAGCUUGCUCUCGGGUGACGAGCGGCGGACGGGUGAGUAAUGUCUGGGAAACUGCCAGAUGGAGGGGAUAACUACUGGAAACGGUAGCUAAUACCGCAUAAUGUCGCAAGACCAAAGUGGGGGACCUUCGGGCCUCAUGCCAUCAGAUGUGCCCAGAUGGGAUUAGCUAGGAGGUGGGGUAACGGCUCACCUAGGGGACGCUCCCUAGCUGGCGUGAGAGGAGGACCAGCCACACUGGAACUGAGACACGGUCCAGACUCCUACGGGAGGCGGCAGUGGGGAAGAUUGCACAAUGGGCGCAAGCCCGAUGCAGCCAUGCCGCGUGUGUGAAGAAGGCCUUCGGGUUGUAAAGCACUUUCAGCGGGGAGGAAGGCGUUAAGGUUAAUAACCGUGUCGAUUGACGUUACCCGCAGAAGAAGCACCGGCUAACUCCGUGCCAGCCGCCGCGGUAA
rnacentral:rRNA from 1 species